GACGAACGCUGGCGGCGUGCUUAACACAUGCAAGUCGAACGGAAAGGCCCUGCCUUUGUGGGGUGCUCGAGUGGCGAACGGGUGAGUAACACGUGAGUAAUCUGCCCUUGACUUUGGGAUAACUUCAGGAAACUGGGGCUAAUACUGGAUAGGAGCUCCUGCUGCAUGGUGGGGGUCGGAAAGUUUCGGCGGUUGGGGAUGGACUCGCGGCUUAUCAGCUUGUUGGUGGGGUAGUGGCUUACCAAGGCUUUGACGGGUAGCCGGCCUGAGAGGGUGACCGGCCACAUUGGGACUGAGAUACGGCCCAGACUCCUACGGGAGGCAGCAGUGGGGAAUAUUGCACAAUGGGCGGAAGCCUGAUGCAGCAACGCCGCGUGCGGGAUGACGGCCUUCGGGUUGUAAACCGCUUUCGCCUGUGACGAAGCGUGAGUGACGGUAAUGGGUAAAGAAGCACCGGCUAACUACGUG
rnacentral:rRNA from 1 species